rnacentral:rRNA from 1 species
UUCAGUUGCCAACGGUAAGGCCGGGCACUCUGGAUGGACUGCCGGCGACAAGCCGGAGGAAGGUGGGGAUGACGUCAAGUCAUCAUGGCCCUUAUGUCCAGGGCGACACACGUGCUACAAUGGCCGGCACAGCGGGAAGCGAGGGGGCGACCUUGAGCGGAUACCCUCAAAGCCGGUCUCAGUUCGGAUUGCAGUCUGCAACUCGACUGCAUGAAGUUGGAAUCGCUAGUAAUCGUGGAUCAGCCAAGCCGCGGUGAAUACGUUCCCGGGCCUU